rnacentral:rRNA from 1 species
UACGUAGGGGGCAAGCGUUGUCCGGAAUCAUUGGGCGUAAAGAGCGUGUAGGCGGCCCGGUAAGUCCGCUGUGAAAGUCCAGGGCUCAACCCUGGAAUGCCGGUGGAAACUGUCGGGCUAGAGUCCGGAAGAGGCGAGUGGAAUUCCUGGUGUAGCGGUGAAAUGCGCAGAUAUCAGGAGGAACACCAAUGGCGAAGGCAGCUCGCUGGGACGGUACUGGCGCUGAGACGCGAAAGCGUGGGGAGCAAACAGG